rnacentral:rRNA from 1 species
CGAACGCUGGCGGCGUGCUUAACACAUGCAAGUCGAGCGGUAAGGCCCUUUCGGGGGUACACGAGCGGCGAACGGGUGAGUAACACGUGGGUGACCUGCCCUCAGCUCUGGGAUAAGCCUGGGAAACCGGGUCUAAUACUGGAUAUGACUCCAUGACGCAUGUUGUGGGGUGGAAAGCCUUGUGCGGCUGAGGAUGGGCCCGCGGCCUAUCAGCUUGUUGGGGGGUGAUGGCCUACCAAGGCGACGACGGGUAGCCGGCCUGAGAGGGCGACCGGCCACACUGGGACUGAGACACGGCCCAGACUCCUACGGGAGGCAGCAGUGGGGAAUCUUGCGCAAUGGGCGAAAGCCUGACGCAGCGACGCCGCGUGAGGGAUGACGG